rnacentral:rRNA from 1 species
AAUCAACGCUGGCGGCGUGCCUAACACAUGCAAGUCGAACGAGAAAGUGGAGCAAUCCAUGAGUAAAGUGGCGCACGGGUGAGUAACACGUGACUAACCUACCCUUGAGUGGGGGAGUAACCUCGGGAACCGGGGACGUAAUACCGCAUAACACCGAGAGGUCAAAGGAAGCAAUUCGCUUAAGGAGGGGGUCGGCGGCUGAUUAGCUAGUUGGUGAGGUAAUGGCUCACCAAGGCGAUGAUCAGUAUCCGGCCU